rnacentral:rRNA from 1 species
GUGGGCCGUAAGGGCUCGCAGGCGGUUUCUUAAGUCUGAUGUGAAAGCCCCCGGCUCAACCGGGGAGGGUCAUUGGAAACUGGGGAACUUGAGUGCAGAAGAGGAGAAUGGAAUUCCACGUGUAGCGGUGAAAUGCGUAGAGAUGUGGAGGAACACCAGUGGCGAAGGCGACUCUCUGGUCUGUAACUGACGCUGAGGAGCGAAAGCGUGGGGAGCGAACAGGAUUAGAUACCCUGGUAGUCCACGCCGUAAACGAUGAGUGCUAAGUGUUAGGGGGUUUCCGCCCCUUAGUGCUGCAGCUAACGCAUUAAGCACUCCGCCUGGGGAGUACGGUCGCAAGACUGAAACUCAAAGGAAUUGACGGGGGCCCGCACAAGCGGUGGAGCAUGUGGUUUAAUUCGAAGCAACGCGAAGAACCUUACCAGGUCUUGACAUCCUCUGACAAUCCUAGAGAUAGGACGUCCCCUUCGGGGGCAGAGUGACAGGUGGUGCAUGGUUGUCGUCAGCUCGUGUCGUGAGAUGUUGGGUUAAGUCCCGCAACGAGCGCAACCCUUGAUCUUAGUUGCCAGCAUUCAGUUGGGCACUCUAAGGUGACUGCCGGUGACAAACCGGAGGAAGGUGGGGAUGACGUCAAAUCAUCAUGCCCCUUAUGACCUGGGCUACACACGUGCUACAAUGGACAGAACAAAGGGCAGCGAAACCGCGAGGUUAAGCCAAUCCCACAAAUCUGUUCUCAGUUCGGAUCGCAGUCUGCAACUCGACUGCGUGAAGCUGGAAUCGCUAGUAAUCGCGGAUCAGCAUGCCGGGGGGAAAACCUUUCCCGGGGCCUUGUACACACCGCCCGUCACACCACGAGAGUUUGUAACACCCGAAGUCGGUGAGGUAACCUUUUAGGAGCCAGCCGCCGAAGGUGGGACAGAUGAUUGGGGUG